rnacentral:SRP_RNA from 1 species
GUUUGUCCUCCUCUUCCACCCAAGUAAAGAGGUAUUGCUGGGUGUAAUCAUGGUGGCUGGGUUCUGGUACAAUUGUCUGGUCGGUGCUUUCGGAGGUGAGCAUUUCAUGACGCUGGCUGCAUAUGGCAGCGCGCGAAUGUUCACUCUUGCCGGUGUG